rnacentral:rRNA from 1 species
AUACGGAGGGUGCAAGCGUUACUCGGAAUCAUUGGGUUUAAAGGGUCCGUAGGCGGACUAUUAAGUCAGAGGUGAAAUCCCACAGCUCAACUGUGGAACUGCCUUUGAUACUGGUAGUCUUGAGUUAUAUGGAAGUAGAUAGAAUGUGUAGUGUAGCGGUGAAAUGCAUAGAUAUUACACAGAAUACCGAUUGCGAAGGCAGUCUACUACGUAUAUACUGACGCUAAGGGACGAAAGCGUGGGGAGCGAACAGGAUUAGAUACCCUAGUAGUCC